UACGUAGGGGGCAAGCGUUGUCCGGAAUCAUUGGGCGUAAAGCGCGUGUAGGCGGCUCGGUAAGUCUGCUCUGAAAGCCUGGGGCUCAACCCUGGGAGGCGGGUGGAUACUGCUGAGCUCGAGUCCGGAAGAGGCGAGUGGAAUUCCUGGUGUAGCGGUGAAAUGCGCAGAUAUCAGGAGGAACACCAACGGCGAAGGCAGCUCGCUGGGACGGUACUGACGCUGAGACGCGAAAGCGUGGGGAGCAAACAGG
rnacentral:rRNA from 1 species